rnacentral:pre_miRNA from 1 species
ACUUGCUUCUCCGCUUCUAACUUCCAUUUGCAGUGUUAGAAUACUCUGGAAAUGGAUUAGAACCGUGGAGAAGUUAGG